GGUGAACUGUUUUACAAUUGCUUGACAAUAAAAUAGUAAAGUUAUACCUAAGAAGGGAAUUGUUAACAGAAUGACUGCGACAGAUGAAACAUUUUGCGGAGAGAAGAUUGAGAAGCUAAAACGGGAUCAAGAUCUGCUGACAUUCGUUAGCAACAGCCUCAAAAGAAGUGAUCAGCUGACUAAAGGCAUGGUGUCCCUUCUCUCACCGUUGGAGGGCCGUUUGGAGCACCUGGAGAACUCGGUCAUUCCCAUGCACGACAGCACACAGAACCUAAUGCAGCUGAAGGGGACAAUGCAGAAGACAUUAUUCUACCUGGACGAUGCCAUCGGCCAUUACCAAGCCGUCCGAGACACAGACAAGGUCAUCAUACAAGGAGAGGCCGUUUAGAGAGUGCCAAGUCACAGCUGGAGUCCGAGUUCCAAGUCCUGUUGGGGCGCUACAGCAAGCCAGUGCAGACAGUCAAAAUCCUGGAUGUCCUGGCCAAAAAGUCACUGAACGGGUCUACAGACGGAGUGGAGGAGGUACAACUCAUACCCCAAACUAGGCUUCAGGACAUCAUCUCCAUCUCCACCUGGCUGAUAGGUGAGGAUGCAGCUCUGACAGCUAAGAGGAGAGUCUCUGCCAGCAAAUUCAAAACACGGUCACUGGAAAGAAACCCAUCCCACCACUCUCUGGGAAAACUGGAGCCCAGCAGCUUUUUCACCUAGAAGUCCUACUGCUCCAAACUCAAAACACAUUCUCUAGGCAGAAAGCCAUCAAUAGAAAACAAGCCAUCAAUGGACUCUCUUGGAAAACUGAAAGCAAACAGCUUGUUCACCAAGAUGCUCGGCCUGAAGUCAUUUGGUAAAUUAAAAACGCAGUCCCUGGACAGAAAGCCAUCACUAGACAAGAAUCCAUCACUAGACUCCCUCGGAAAACUGGAAUCCAGUAGCUCUUUCACCAAGGUAUCCACCUCGAAGCCAUGCAGCAGACUGAAUAUUCCCGAUAUUAGGCAACCAUCUUUGGAGUCAAUCCUAUAUCUGCCUAGAGACUCCACCUCCCAUACCUUCCCAUCCUGCAAACCCAAGCCCCCAGCUUCCACCUCCUUCAUCCUGCCAUACUUCAGACCCAAGCCCAGCUCAGCCUUUGGUAAGUUAAACGCAGCCUAGGUGGCAUCUCUUCUAUUGAGAGGGUGGAGGCGUAUCUGCGUCAAUUAGCUUUCUUAAAUAUACGUAACUGAACUGACGUUUUGGUGAGGGCCAAGACCCUCCCACAAGUCCUCUCUGGGGGGUUUCCCUGACCUCUCCCUGCACAAUUAUCCUUCACUUCAUUGUAUUAUAUGUUUGUAUCUGUUUCUUUAUGUUCUAGGGCCAACUCCCCGUGCUUACCGUGGGGAGCGAGUGACCGAGCAAGCACCGUAUUAUGCGGUGAUGUGCACUAUGUCGCCGGUGCGCACUCACAGCCCAGUGCGCUCGGUGCAAGCUCCUCACCGUUGCUGUGCUAGAGUUGGCCGUCAGCCAGGAAGAAGUGCACCGGCUCAGCGUGUCUGGUCUCCAGUGCGUCUC